rnacentral:rRNA from 1 species
UACGGGAGGCAGCAGUGGGGAAUAUUGGACAAUGGGCGCAAGCCUGAUCCAGCCAUGCCGCGUGAGUGAUGAAGGCCUUAGGGUUGUAAAGCUCUUUCACCGGAGAAGAUAAUGACGGUAUCCGGAGAAGAAGCCCCGGCUAACUUCGUGCCAGCAGCCGCGGUAAUACGAAGGGGGCUAGCGUUGUUCGGAAUUACUGGGCGUAAAGCGCACGUAGGCGGAUAUUUAAGUCAGGGGUGAAAUCCCAGAGCUCAACUCUGGAACUGCCUUUGAUACUGGGUAUCUUGAGUAUGGAAGAGGUAAGUGGAAUUCCGAGUGUAGAGGUGAAAUUCGUAGAUAUUCGGAGGAACACCAGUGGCGAAGGCGGCUUACUGGUCCAUUACUGACGCUGAGGUGCGAAAGCGUGGGGAGCAAACARGAUUAGAUACCCUGGUAGUCCACGCCGUAAACGA